AGUGGGUGGGACGUAUAAAGGGGAUGAGAGCAAUGCCUUUGGGGUCUUGGAUCUGGUGUUCUCCUUUGCUACAUCUGCUGCUCUGCUGCCGUCGAUGGGAGUGGGAGAAGGCAUUUGAAUGACACAUGUAGGGGCAGGGGCAGGUGGGCUUACUACUGACAGCUGUUGUAUUGUCAGUCUUGGAGUAGUUGAUGGUUUUGAGGUACAGCUAAUCUUGGGGUCAUUUUUGGUAGGAUUACUGGUUUGGGGGUUCACUUUUGAUGCUUGGGGCAUCUGUACUUUAGAGGAGGACCGCGAGGAGGAAAUGUUGCUACAGGUGACAGUGACCUUAGGCUCCCUGGCUGACUUUAAGGAGCACUUCUUCAGAAUUUGGAAGAGCAGGUUGUUCAAGAUCCUUGAGAUGUUGUCCCAAGUGACUUCUGGAGUUGCAAAUGGAGGCUCGGGGCACUGAUUACAUCUCUGAGCAAACACCCUCAUCUUCACCCACCCCUUGGCCUUCUUCUCACACCACCGCAUGUGGAAGACUAUCAGAACUCGGCCAGAUGCCCAACUUCGAGAGCAGGAAGGACAGUGGAACCUGUAGAGGAGAGGGCCAGAGUUUCAGCUGAGCUGUGGGCAGGUGCCAGAGGGAGAAGGAGUUUCUCACGAACGGUGAGAGAAGCAAAUGACCCCUCUUUCUCAUCUCCACUGUAUCACCAACAUGCCCUGGGACCAUCACCAGGUACCUACUGUGCAAACAGCACACAAACCAUCGGACUCAGAAGGAACCUAGGGCAUUUGCUAAGCCCAGUGUGUGCAUUUCAGAGUCAAAGUACACACUGGGAACGCAUCAUGCCCAGGACUUGGGGAUUAAGAGUUAGGACUGGGGCUCUNNNNNNNNNNAAAAAAAAAGCCACUGUUUCUUCAGAUACUGAGGUAAAUGUAUUCAAGGCUAUGCAUGCAACAGCCCCCAAUACUAUAUAUUAUAUAUAUAAUCUAUAUAGCCCCCUGUGCUAAAAAUCAACAAGUGGAUAGAAAUGGGUGCAGGGUAACUGACAGACCGGGAGAGAGUUGCAAUCUCCUGCCUACAG
ensembl:antisense 1700061E17Rik RIKEN cDNA 1700061E17 gene